GAAUGCUGACAUAAGUAACGAUAAAGCGGGUGAAAAGCCCGCUCGCCGGAAGACCAAGGGUUCCUGUCCAACGUUAAUCGGGGCAGGGUGAGUCGACCCCUAAGGCGAGGCCGAAAGGCGUAGUCGAUGGGAAACAGGUUAAUAUUCCUGUACUUGGUGUUACUGCGAAGGGGGGACGGAGAAGGCUAUGUUGGCCGGGCGACGGUUGUCCCGGUUUAAGCGUGUAGGCUGGUUUUCCAGGCAAAUCCGGAAAAUCAAGGCUGAGGCGUGAUGACGAGGCACUACGGUGCUGAAGCAACAAAUGCCCUGCUUCCAGGAAAAGCCUCUAAGCAUCAGGUAACAUCAAAUCGUACCCCAAACCGACACAGGUGGUCAGGUAGAGAAUACCAAGGCGCUUGAGAGAACUCGGGUGAAGGAACUAGGCAAAAUGGUGCCGUAACUUCGGGAGAAGGCACGCUGAUAUGUAGGUGAAGCGACUUGCUCGUGGAGCUGAAAUCAGUCGAAGAUACCAGCUGGCUGCAACUGUUUAUUAAAAACACAGCACUGUGCAAACACGAAAGUGGACGUAUACGGUGUGACGCCUGCCCGGUGCCGGAAGGUUAAUUGAUGGGGUUAGCGGUAACGCG
rnacentral:rRNA from 1 species